UUUAAAGCACUUUUCAAAAAACAUUUUUCAUCAUACCAAACACACCCUUGACCUGAUUUUCUUAAUGAAUUCACCAUUAGAUUCUACUUCUUUUAGGCAUGAAUAUUUGAAAUUCACUGGUACAAUCAAUUCAAUGUCAAACGUGUGGCAGAAAGAUUUUUCCUAUCAAAAAGUUCGAACCUGAAAUUUUUGAUUAUCAAGGAAUCUCAACUAUCCCGCUACAUUCCUGAUGUAUUUUAAAUUCUGGUUAGUUACUUGUUCACAUUACAUAUUUCAUGCUUGUUAUUCUUUCUGGUUGAAUGAUAAAAUUUAUACUACUAGUUUAACUUAUUAUAUCUAAACCUAACUCAAUCCUAAAUGCUAGGUCAGGAAGCGAGUACCAUCCAAGAAAAUAUGAGCAACAACUUCACUUCAUGUUGUUGCUGUUCUACUGUUAAUUCUGCAAUUUCCAUGAUGAUCAGAAUCUAUGUGCAGACAUCCUCCUCAAUAAGGAAAGUUCUUUGUUUAUUACAAUGGUACUCUUAGUUAGAGAGGAUAUUUAACAAAUGCCUGAGCUUUGAACAUGUUUGAUAAAUUAUGUAAGUGAAUGCAAAUAUACGUGGUGAUGGGUGUUGGAUUAGCGGGUUGGAUCAAACUUAGAACUUCUUAAAAUGGAUUGAUUUAAUAACCAGAUAAUGGCCAGUCCUGUAAACAAA
rnacentral:lncRNA from 1 species